GAUCAUGGCUCAGAUUGAACGCUGGCGGCAUGCCUUACACAUGCAAGUCGAACGGCAGCACGGGAGCAAUCCUGGUGGCGAGUGGCGAACGGGUGAGUAAUAUAUCGGAACGUGCCCAGUCGUGGGGGAUAACGUAGAGAAAUUUACGCUAAUACCGCAUACGAUCUAAGGAUGAAAGCGGGGGACCGUAAGGCCUCGCGCGAUUGGAGCGGCUGAUAUCAGAUUAGGUUGUUGGUGAGGUAAAAGCUCACCAAGCCGACGAUCUGUAGCUGGUUUGAGAGAACGACCAGCCACACUGGGACUGAGACACGGCCCAGACUCCUACGGGAGGCAGCAGUGGGGAAUUUUGGACAAUGGGCGAAAGCCUGAUCCAGCAAUGCCGCGUGCAGGAAGAAGGCCUUCGGGUUGUAAACUGCUUUUGUACGGAACGAAAAGGUCUGCCCUAAUACGGCGGGCCCAUGACGGUACCGUAAGAAUAAGCACCGGCUAACUACGUG
rnacentral:rRNA from 1 species